rnacentral:rRNA from 1 species
UGGGGAAUAUUGGGCAAUGGAGGAAACUCUGACCCAGCGACGCCGCGUGAGGGAUGAAGGCCUUCGGGUUGUAAACCUCUUUCAGUAGGGAAGAAGCGAAAGUGACGGUACCUACAGAAGAAGCACCGGCUAACUAUGUGCCAGCAGCCGCGGUAAUACAUAGGGUGCAAGCGUUGUCCGGAAUUAUUGGGCGUAAAGAGCUCGUAGGUGGUUCGAUACGUCGGAUGUGAAAAUCAGGGGCUCAACCCCUGACCUGCAUCCGAUACGGUCGAGCUAGAGUUUGGUAGGGGAGACUGGAAUUCCUGGUGUAGCGGUGGAAUGCGCAGAUAUCAGGAGGAACACCGAUGGCGAAGGCAGGUCUCUGGGCCAAUACUGACACUGAGGA